rnacentral:lncRNA from 1 species
GGAUUUCCGCCAACUACAUGGGCAUGGGCAAGAGUGCAAUGGAUGCGCUUCCUGAGCUGCGCCGCAAGGGCAUCACUGCCAGCGGCAACAGCUUUAGCAUGGGCGGCAGAACCAUGGAUGCCACCGAGCUUGCCCAGGCUCUGCGUCUGCAGGUCGGUGCACACUUUGAUGCACUUACUUUGCUCCUCUGCAGAAUUCCAGGAGCAGUCAUCGUUCUCCCGCCGCAGCGCAGUUGUUCCUGGUCUGAUGCUCGCUGUCCUUUGUGCCUGCGCAUGCUGCUGCUCCAAACAGCUCAAACAGUGCGCUUCUCCAUUGGUCCAUACACAUGUGCUAACACAGUGCACUCCCUUGUUGGUACAUACCAAUAGAGAAGUGCACUGUAUGCACUUGUGCUAUACGCUGUAAUGUGCCACACUGUAAUGUGCUAUGUGCUCUACACUGUAUACACGAGCACUUACUCAUGUGCACACUUCUCCAUCGGUCUGUACCCAUGUAUACUUGCCCUGGUGACUCAUCCAGUGUGUUUCAUGCUUGCUCUGGGAGGAGAGACCUCCUCAAAGCUCAUGGUAACUGGCUGUUCUCUGUAGGCCCGCCCUGGCAGCCGCCCUUCCACCCCACCCCGUGCGGCAGCUGCGCUCUCUGCACCUGUCAG